rnacentral:rRNA from 1 species
AACGAACGCUGGCGGCAGGCCUAACACAUGCAAGUCGAGCGCCCUUUCGGGGGAGCGGCGGACGGGUGAGUAGCGCGUGGGAAUAUGCCCUUCUCUACGGAAUAGCCUCGGGAAACUGAGAGUAAUACCGUAUACGCCCUGUGGGGGAAAGAUUUAUCGGGGAAGGAUUAGCCCGCGUUGGAUUAGGUAGUUGGUAGGGUAAUGGCCUACCAAGCCGACGAUCCAUAGCUGGUUUGAGAGGAUGAUCAGCCACACUGGGACUGAGACACGGCCCAGACUCCUACGGGAGGCAGCAGUGGGGAAUCUUAGACAAUGGGGGCAACCCUGAUCUAGCCAUGCCGCGUGAGUGAUGAAGGCCUUAGGGUUGUAAAGCUCUUUCAGCUGGGAAGAUAAUGACGGUACCAGCAGAAGAAGCCCCGGCUAACUCCGUG